rnacentral:RNase_P_RNA from 1 species
CAGGUACAGCAGGUGAUUGCUGGCGUUAGCCAGAGGAAAGUCCGGGCUGCAAUGAGACAAGGUUCCAUCUAACGGAUGGCCGGGGUAACCCGAGGGCAAGUGCAACAGAGAGAAGACUUCCAUCUUUGGUGAAGAUGGUAAAGGUGAAAGGGUGAGGUAAGAGCUCACCGGUACCCUGAGCAAUCAGGGUAGCCAGGUAAACCCAACCUGCAGCAAGAAGCUUAUGGUACAAGUCUCAUCAUAUAUUCGCUUCGCAGGAACUCUUUUGUAAAAAAGAGUCCAGACAAAUAAUCACCCAACGACAGAACCCGGCUUAUCGCUGUACCUAACCU